UACGUAGGAGACAAGCGUUGUCCGGAAUUACUGGGUGUAAAGCGCGUGUAGGCGGUAGGCCAAGUCUGCUGUGAAAUCGCCCGGCUCAACUGGGCGCGGUCGGUGGAAACUGGUCAACUGGAGGACGGUAGAGGCGAGUGGAAUUCCCGGUGUAGUGGUGAAAUGCGUAGAGAUCGGGAGGAACACCAGUGGCGAAGGCGGGUCUCUGGGCCGAUACUGACGCUGAGGAGCGAAAGCGUGGGGAGCGAACAGG
rnacentral:rRNA from 1 species